GGUUGUCACUCCAUUGAGGCACCCGAGAUUUGAGUGCAAGCUCAGUGUUACAGAGAGCUCAGUGCUGGCGAGGUCAGUCAGUCAAGUGCAGCUCAUGGUCAACGUAAGUAAUUGUAAUGGGGUAAUAAUAUCCCGUGCUUAAUAUUGCAAUUCAACCUCUGAUAAAGUCAGAGUACCUGAACUUUACAAUGGUGCAAAGACCAUUUCUUAAGCACUCAAGACCUCUGCUUUAAGCGGACACAGCUCCUUCUGAUCGGUUAAUGCAGGUUUCAUAUUAGUUUUAAAAUGGUAUAUAUAUAUAUAUAUAUAUAUAUAUAUAUAUAUAUAUAAAUUAAAAAGUUUGUUGUUUCUCGCAGUAUAUAAUGCAGCUUCAAUGCUAAUGCCUGAAAAGUACCGUUUACAUCCCCCGCGCAAAUAGAUUGAGGAGGAGUUUUGCAGUCUGGGCGGGAGAAGACAACUUGCGCGUAUUCCUGCAAGCAAGUUUCAAAGAAUUUAUAACGUAAGCGCCUGCAUGACAACUGCGGGGUGCGUAGUUUACGUACUAUCAAACCAUCAGGAUUAUUUGUGUGUGUUGACUGCCUGUGUAAAGGAUGGCGGCGGCAGGAGCAGCUCCGGCAGGUCCGGUCGAGUCAGAGCUGGACCGGAGUGGGACGGAGGAAGACCCCAGAGAAGCGGUGUCGGAAGAGGAAGGUUGUCCGCAGCAACAGGCCGGGGCUCCGAGCUCGGCCUCCCACAACCGCCUGGCGAAGCUGCCGCUGUCUCGGAUAAAGACACUGAUGAAGGCCGAUCCAGAUGUGACGCUGGCGAGUCAGGAUUCAGUGUUUAUCAUCGCUAAAGCUACAGAGUUGUUUGUUGAAACAAUAGCCAAGGAUGCUCUUGUUUAUGCUCAGCAAGGCAAGAGGAAGACCCUGCAAAGGAAAGAUCUAGAUAAUGCAAUUGACGCUAUUGACGAGUUUGCCUUUCUUGAAGGCACUUUGGACUGAAGUUUGGAAAACAAUUCACAAAGAAUGAUGCGACUUUACCCCGAAGGAACCGUGGAAUACAUUUGCAACAUGAGGAAAUCCUUCAUUCAUCUUCCCUGCUCAGCCCAUAAAGACUUCUUUUGCAAAGUGCCUUCACUGCUGUAUGUAGCUGACCCACCACAUCAACAUGACCGUUGCUCUCAGCUACUGGAAGUGUGUAAAUGUCCACUCUUGUGUAAUAAAACUGAUAUUUUGUUUUAAAUAUUGUAA